ACUGUAUUCUCUCUCUCUCUCUCUAUAUAUAUAUAUAUAUGUUAGUAUUGAUUUUGUGAUUUGCAUUUCCUAGAGACAAAUUAGACUAAGUAUAUAUGAUAAAGUAGUUGUGAACUUGUGAUGGUGGCUGUCAAAAUUCCAAGAUAUGCUUUGAAGCCUUAUAUGUCAACCAACGAUCACUAAGUUUUUCUCCGGUGAGCUUGAAUCGAUCGUUACUAGUAUUAAAUUCAACAUAAGCAGAGCUGGAAGAACUCCGGCGAGCUUGAAGCAAUCGUGACCAAUAUUGCGUUCAACAUAAGAAAUGUCGAAAGAUCAUCCCACGAGAAGUUGAGUUACGAAGAAGUUGGUACGUUGUCUAGAGUGUCUAGGACAAGUUUGUAUACUUCUUAUAAUCAUCGUUCUAUAGUGAAUUUGCCUUGGACUAUCAGGUUCCGUGAAUUUUCCCCAAAUGUGGGGUUUUACCACGUAAAAUAAUUUGUGUUUUUAUCUAUUUUUACAUUCUAUACUAUAGAGGAUUGAUACAUAUCAAUCCUUUUGACGUGUUUUUAUAUAUCAAUGUAUGUAUCAAUCCUUUUGACGUGUUUUUAUAUAUUAAUGUAUUACUCUUAA